CCUACGGGGUGCUGCAGUGAGGAAUAUUGGUCAAUGGACGAGAGUCUGAACCAGCCAAGUAGCGUGAAGGAUGACUGCCCUAUGGGUUGUAAACUUCUUUUAUAAAGGAAUAAAACGAGGCACGUGUGCCUUUUUGCAUGUACUUUAUGAAUAAGGAUCGGCUAACUCCGUGCCAGCAGCCGCGGUAAUACGGAGGAUGCGAGCGUUAUCCGGAUUUAUUGGGUUUAAAGGGUGCGUAGGCGGUAUUUUAAGUUAGUGGUAAAACGUCGGGGCUUCACCUUGAUUGGCCAUUAAAACUGGAGUACUAGAGUACAGACGAGGUAGGCGGAAUAAGUUAAGUAGCGGUGAAAUGCUUAGAUAUAACUUAGAACCCCGAUAGCGAAGGCAGCUUACCAGACUGUUACUGACGCUGAAGCACGAGAGCGUGGGUAGCGAACAGGAUUAGAUACCCUAGUAGUC
rnacentral:rRNA from 1 species